CAAUAGCGUAUAUUUAAGUUGUUGCAGUUAAAAAGCUCGUAGUUGGAUUUUGGGUCGGGGGCACCGGUCCGCCGUUCCGGUGUGCACUGGUGGCCCCUUCCUUUCUGCCGGGGACGUGCGUCGCACUUAAUUGGGUGGCGUUCGGAGUCGGCGUUGUUACUUUGAAAAAAUUAGAGUGUUCAAAGCAAGCCAUCGCUCUGAAUACAUUAGCAUGGAAUAACAUGAUAGGACUCCGGUCUUAUUUUGUUGGUUUCCGAGACUGGAGUAAUGAUUAAGAGGGACAGUCGGGGGCGUCCGUAUUUCAUUGUCAGAGGUGAAAUUCUUGGAUUUAUGAAAGACGAACUUCUGCGAAAGCAUUUGCCAAGGAUGUUUUCAUUAA
rnacentral:rRNA from 1 species